rnacentral:lncRNA from 1 species
CUGUUAGCCUGUUUCCUGGGAGAUUCUAAAUUGUGGUCAGAUUCUGUUUUUAUUCAGAUGAACAAGAUUAACUGCUUAUUCAGAUAACUGUUAUUUUGGAUAAUGAGGAUGGCUGAAGAAAUGGAAAAGAGUGCAAAUGAAUUUACUAGCUGAUGAAUAGCUAGUGUAAGAGUUACAUCAAUGCCCGACUUCCAUCAAGAAAUGAAGCCACAUCUUGGAGUAUUAUGGGGACUGUUACUAUGAUCUCAAAGACUGUGGUUAUGAAUUUGAAGGUAACAAAACAUACAUCUUCUGUUACUAACUUAAGCCAUAUACGUCAUCUCUAUGAUUGAUUUUUUUGACCCCGGUGCUUUUACUUCUGUUUCUGCCAAACUUUGGCCUACUCUAUGGGGAAGGUGAGUGAGUAAAACUAGUAGUUAGGACAAAUGUGAAGACUGUGAAAAAACUAAACAUGUUCUUCAGAACGAGAUCCUAGUCAGAGAACAGUAGUGAUCAAAGUGCAAACUGUUGGAAAAUCUGGAUAUAUGUACAUCUGUACAUGUAUAUAGUGUAUAAUAUGUAUGUAUAUGUUAUUGCUCAUAUGCAGAAAUCUA